UUUUUAUUUUUUUAUUAACUUUUUCUGGUUCCAAUUCACAAUUCCACUCACACUCUCUCUUCCACUGCCUCCCUCGCCCAAUCACGUAUAGUUGCUUCCACCACCUUCUUUUUCUCUCAUCUACCUCUAUCUUUUGGAGAUGAUCACUAAAAGUAUCAGAUGUUUCUUCCAACGUCUCUCUCAACAAAUGUUCGUCUUCCUCGAUUGUUCUCUUCCUGCUUUACUUCUCACCCCUUCUAUUAUCUCUCAGUUGAACCACCGAUCAACCUAUUUAUUGGCUAUUUUCUCACAUGCACCACCUCUACCACUUCGCACCCUCCCCCCCCCCCCCCCCCUCCACUUCCUCUUAUCCAUGUUUGAACAUCCCCAUCGGCACCACCAGAGAAGAAGAUGUCGAAAUACCAUCGGAUUUCUGGUGUAUAAACUUCCACCUGUCACAGAUGAGUCAUUCUUGCUUUUAAUCAAUGAAUCUGUUGCCCGCUUCCACAUUCCCCUCCACUGACGAUGUCUCUUACUUCAACCGACGAACUGGAUUCAUUACCAAACUCUCAAUCUUCCAUCAGAGACGUUUGUUUCCUGCUGCUACCAGACCUUACAUGUUGUUAUCAAUUUUGUUGUUUGUCUUCCUCCACUCAGUCGGUUGCUCUGUGUCUGGAGUCGAGGUGAUGUAUAUAUGUAUUUCAAUUUCAACCUUUUCAAUUUUUAUUGUUAUAAGUUUACAUAUCCGCCCUUCUUAUAUUCCCCAAUUAUUUAAUCCUCUAUUUCAGAUAAUUCAUUUUGAAAAGAUUAAGACUUUUCAGUGAACGGUUCACAACUCCCUCUCCAUAAGAUCUUUAUGAGUUUUUUCUGUUUAUAAAUUUUUCCGAGCUGUUACUUGACUAGGUUGGUAUCGAUUGUUACUUUCAUUAUUUCAAAACCCAAAUUACACUUACGAUUCAGUGUCAUCCGUUUGAUUAAAAUAACGUCUAUGAUUUCCAGAUUCAAUUUUUUUCUUUUUUGUCAUAUCAGGUUCCAUUCAAGAAACAUAAACGUUUAUGAAUUUCUAUUUUUCUUGGUGUUGUGUACAAUUCUUACUCAAUUGUUAAGAAUAUAUUUAAUUUUUCACUCCUAACUACUCUUAUGGGGUCGUGUAUUUUGGUUUUGCAAGAUAUUUUGGGGAAUUGAGAAGGGCGUUAUUAGAAUAAGUGGAUAAGGAGCUCUAUAAAGGCAAUGACAGACAUGCACUAUAUCUCAAAGGGACGUGGCUAAUUCUGGCGAUAUAAUUGGUGGUAAUGGUUGCAACAGGUUUCAAGGUAACCGCCAAGUUAUGGUUAGUAUAUAUCGAUGGGUUUAAUUCAUCAUGUUAACAAGUUUGGUUCUGUUGUUUUCUGAUUUGGGUUAAAACUGACCACACACAAGGAUGAACUGGGACUGGGCUUGCAUCAAUUACGUGUGACUCCUACGGAUUUUGGACUCAAUGUACCUGGAAAACAAAAACAAGAAAAGGGUUCCAAUUACAUACCAUUUUAGGGGAAGACUAAAUCUUAGAUAUUUGAUGUGGUUGGAAACAAAAGAAAAAAGGAGUUGAAGAGGCUCCUACUGGCCUAACAUCUCCCAUAUACCCUGGGAAUUACAAAUUUAAUAUGAA